rnacentral:rRNA from 1 species
CCUACGGGAGGCAGCAGUGGGGAAUAUUGCACAAUGGGGGAAACCCUGAUGCAGCAACGCCGCGUGGGUGAAGGAGCGUUUCGGCGCGUAAAGCCCUGUCAGCGGGGAAGAAGAAAGACGGUACCCGACCAAGAAGCCCCGGCUAACUACGUGCCAGCAGCCGCGGUAAUCCGUAAGGGGCAAGCGUUAGCCGGAUUUACUGGGUGUAAAGGGGGCGCAGACGGCAAUGCAAGCCAGGAGUGAAAGCCCGGGGCCCAACCCCGGUACGGCUCGUGGAACUGCAUGGCUGGAGUACCGGAGGGGCAGGCGGAAUUGCUAGUGUAGCGGGGAAAUGCGUAGAUAUUAGGAGGAACACCGGUGGCGAAGGCGG